rnacentral:rRNA from 1 species
GGCUCAGGAUGAACGCUGGCGGCGUGCUUAACACAUGCAAGUCGAACGAAGCACUGAGGAAUGAGACUUCGGUUGAAUGAAACAGUGACUGAGUGGCGGACGGGUGAGUAACGCGUGGGUAACCUGCCUCAUACAGGGGGAUAACAGUUAGAAAUGACUGCUAAUACCGCAUAAGCGCACAGUACCGCAUGGUACGGUGUGAAAAACUCCGGUGGUAUGAGAUGGACCCGCGUCUGAUUAGCUGGUUGGUGAGGUAACGGCUUACCAAGGCGACGAUCAGUAGCCGACCUGAGAGGGUGACCGGCCACAUUGGGACUGAGACACGGCCCAAACUCCUACGGGAGGCAGCAGUGGGGAAUAUUGCACAAUGGGCGAAAGCCUGAUGCAGCGACGCCGCGUGAAGGAUGAAGUAUUUCGGUAUGUAAACUUCUAUCAGCAGGGAAGAAAAUGACGGUACCUGACUAAGAAGCCCCGGCUAACUACGUG